rnacentral:rRNA from 1 species
GCAAAGUUAAUAAGGGCGCACGGUGGAUGCCUUGGCACUAAGAGCCGAUGAAGGACGUGACUAACGACGAUAUUCUAGGGGGAGCAGUAAGUACGCAUUGAUCCCUAGGUCUCCGAAUGGGGAAACCCAGCUGCUACUAGCAGUUAUUCAUGAGUGAAUACAUAGCUCAUGUAAAGGUAACGCAGAGAACUGAAACAUCUAAGUACCUGCAGGAAGAGAAAGUAAAAACGAUUUCGUAAGUAGCGGCGAGCGAACGCGAAGAAGGGCAAACCAAGAAGCUUGCUUCUUGGGGUUGUAGGACUGCAACGUGGACUUAAGCAUUAUAGUCGAAUAACCUGGGAAGGUUAAUCAAAGAGGGUAAUAAUCCCGUAGACGAAAUAGCGCUUAUACCUAGCAGUAUCCUGAGUAGGGCUGGACACGCGAAAUCCAGUUUGAAU